UCCCUUGUCCAGGUUCAGGAGAGUCCAAGGUACAGCCAGUCUAGCAAAGGACGAACCAGACCGUGAGACGCAGGUGCACCAGAGGCAAAGCACAUUUGCUCCCCACCUGCACAUCUCCACCACUGUGAACAGAGAGCAUGGAGGAAGACCUAAAGAAGAGGCCCACGUCCAGGGGUCUGAGUACCCUGGAGAAGAGCCUGAUACUACUGUUUGUGGCUCUGACUGGCGCCUGCAUCGGACUGGUGGUCAUCUACUUCACUGACAAGAACAGCGUCUCCACUGAUGAAGAGGUCAAUUCAGGAUGCGGGGGUCCUCAGGCACUCAAGGGCCCGUCGGGGGAGUUCACCAGCAUGAAUUACCCCAGUAGCUACGACAACGGCAUGAGCUGCAGCUGGCACAUCACUGUGGACCCAGGCAUGGUGAUCCAUUUGUGGUUUGAUCACUUCUCCCUGGAGGCAACAGACCUGUGCACAGCAGACUACUUUACAAUACAGGACAACCUGGGAGUCAUCGGUGAUGGUGUGUGCUCUUCAGACUGUUUCUGACAGGAUGGGAGAAUUAGACACCCAGCCAGAGGCUCUCUCUCUCUCUCUCUCCCUCCAACUGUCCAUUCUCACCUCUUAGCUGACACGCUGGGAUGUCUGGCACAGCAAAGGGAAGCUAUGUGAAGUGUGAGGUGGAACUAUUAAGUGUCCCCUAUUCCCCAGACCCUCAACACACAGCCCCACAGGACCAUCCACACUCCAAGGCUAUAAAGGGAUUGAGCUUUGAUGUCAAACCCAAAUUAGAGCGUCCACGGCGGACACAGCCUAUAAGCCUGGCUGGCCUGCCUCUUCACUACUCCACUUUAAGUUACAGCCUUUACAGUUACAAGAUUACAGACUUUCAGAGGGAGGUCACAUUG